rnacentral:rRNA from 1 species
UACGGGGGGGGGCAAGCGUUGUUCGGAAUUACUGGGCGUAAAGGGCGCGUAGGCGGCACGGCAAGUCAGGAGUGAAAGGCCUGGGCUCAACCGAGGAACUGCUUUUGAGACUGCCGAGCUAGAGUGCAGAAGGGGCAACUGGAAUUCCCAGUGUAGCGGUGAAAUGCGUAGAUAUUCGGAAGAACACCAGUCGGCGAAGGCGAACUCACUGGACACAGUA